ensembl:lncRNA
GGUUAUUUUAUUACAUGCAAAGUAAAUAAUGAAUAGCUUUUUUUUAAUCCAAAUAAGUCAGUAGGAUUUAAUGUUGUUUGAACCCUGAUGUUUUUCAGAAUAUCUUCUAUGUUCCACUGAAGAAAGUCAUACAGGUUUGGAAUGACGAGUAUUUGUCUUGUUAAAUGAUGCAAUUUAUCUCAAAGUGCUUUUAUUUUCUCACACUUCUGUUGUGUUUUUAUGUUUGUUUGUUUGUUUUUUCCAGUUGGUUUUCCUGGCCGGAUCCAUGGUGCUGGGAUUGGAGUGAGUGCAUCUGUGAUUCUGUUGGUCUGUGUUACCAUUGUGCUUUACAAGAAAAAAAAAGGAUAUGCUCCAGGUCGUGCUGAAGAGACUGUUUGAUCCUGGAGAUGCAUCAUUCCACCUGGGCAUUUCAUCUUCAGUAAUUUAUUAGGAACUGUACUCUUUAUCUUUUAUAUUGGAAGGCCAUAACCAUGUCUUGAACAUUAAAGGGGGGGCAAACUAAUUUUUAGUUUUUAAGAAAUUUAAUAAUUAAAGGGAUUUAAGGGAAUAAAUGUGCAUCUACAUAAGCGUGUACAUAAAUCACAGAAAUUAUUGCCUAUAUAUUUUCAAUUCUGAACAGUGAAUUUUGGCCAUUUCUGAAGAGGGACUUGUCCCCUCAAUGUCUAUGGUGGUUACGGGCCUGUUUUAUAGCAUUAGCUCUAUUAUUCUGCUUUUAUUGACUACAUUUAGCAUCUCAUGGCUUUAUAGCUUGUAGGAUUUUGUUUGUUUGUUUGUUUGUUUCUUUCAAUUAUGACUCUAUGAACUAUGACUCUAACCUAAAUGAAGCUACAUGAUGAAAUAAUGAUAUUAGUUAUUAUAUCAUAGAAUUAUAUAUUUAAUACAAAAUAUUUUUAUAAUUACUACAUGUCAUAUGAUUAGCACAAAUGAAAACAAAGUAUUGAAAACACUUAAAAUUAUAUUGAAAAUAUUUUAUCAUAAAAAUACAUUUUGUGUUUGUUAUGCAAAUGGACACAUACAGUAUGUUUAACUCUAUACAUGUAUAUGAAUUAUACACUGAAUUAUAUUGUAAUUUAGUAUAUUUAACAUAUAUAUAUAUAUAUAUUGUAUAACUUAAUACAUUUAACUGUAUUAUUUGUAUUAUUAAUACAUCUAUCACUGGUUUAGUCAGUCUGUGGGGAAAGAACUUGGUGGAUUGCAUGGCACUAUGGUGAGCAUAAAAUGUGUGCGAGCAUAAGUAACUGUAUGACCAGGGCAAGUAUUUGUUUAAAUUGCUGCUGUGGAAGCAAAAUGAAAUGAAAUGCUAUGCCAGUGAGUUCACAAAUCUAAUACAUUACCUGUCAUAUCUAAUACAUAUUACCUGUACCUUUGUGGGAAAGGAUACUGGCACUGCUAGAUUUGUUCAGAUUUGUAUCAAAUGUCUGUUUAAAGCAUUAUAUAUGUCAUAAAUGAUGUUUAGUAAUCAGGGCCAUCCUUAGGGGGGUGCAACUGGUGCGAACAUGAUCGCGAACAGACCGAGGGGGGCCCUGCUCCCUACCUCACACCGGGCCCCGCGUCAGCUAAGGACGGCCCUGUUAGGAAUAUUUGCUUAGCUAUUGUAUUGCACAGCUUCACUCUACUCUUUGUAAUGACUUCUUCCUUUUAAGCACUUAAACCCUUUCUGUCUAG